CUGGAAAACAGUGUGGGCGGAAUGCAAGACCAUCUAAGCCGAAUGGAGGUCGACCUGGUCGACCGCAUGCUUCAGCUUCAGCUCGAGCAUACCGUCCGACGACUCACUGACUCCCUGAUGCUCAAUAGGGAGGGUGCUAGCAGCAACACCACCGACCAUCCCGGGCAAUCGCAUCCGCCUCGCGAAGAAGUUCCCGAACGGACCGAAGGGGGCCGACCGCUGUUCAGGUCUAAAAUCACAAAGUUGGACUUUCCCACCUUCGACGGAGACGAUCCGACCGAAUGGUGUAACUGAGCCGAGCAAUUCUUCGACUUCCAGAACAUCGCCAACGGCUAGAAGGUCUCUUUAGCCGCCUUCUAUCUGACGGGCGAAGCCAACCAGCGGUGGCAGUGGCUUCGCCGCACAUACAGAGAAGAAGGGAAAGAGGUCACAUGAGCUUUUAGGAGGAGCUUUGGGCCCGAUUUGGGCCGACGGUGUGCGAAGAUUUUGAUAAGGCCCCAUCCCGUGUGAAGCAGUCUGGCCCAUUAUGCAAAUACCAGAAGGAGUUUGAGAAGUUGGGCAAUCGAGUGCAGAGCUGGACCCAGAAAGCGCUGGUGGGCACUUUCAUCGGCGGGUUUAAGCCCGAAAUCGUGGAAGGUAUCCACAUGUUCAGGCCCAAAACACUGAAAGCCUGGCCCGCAUGAGGGAGGAACAGCUGAACCGGUAGAGGAGGUUGAUCCGGGUUCCCCGAAACCCGACCGGUCAACUAGAAACCCUAACUGCUACAAACGUUCCACCCUGAUGACUCUCGUAGAAGGAGGCUCAAUGCUGCUGUGCACAGGGUUUGUGCUACCAUUGUGACGAGAAGUUCACCGCAGGCCACCGGUGCAAACGGCCGCAACUCUUGCUCCUUGAAUGCGGGAAUGAAGAAGACGAAGAGGAAGCAAGGCCCGAGAAGCCAGAAAUCUCCCUCCAUGCCCUCACGAGGUGGUCGACUCCAAAAACCAUGAAGGUCGCGCUGCCAUUCAAAAACAAGAAUCUAUUGCCCUCAUCGACAACAGAUCAACUCACAACUUCAUCAGUGAGCGACUCGUCAACUCUCUGCAGCUCCUAGUGGUGCCGACACCUCCCUUCCUGGUCAAGGUCGCAAAUGGCGACCUGAUAAGAUGCCGAGCUGCUUUGAGGAUAUCUCGGUGCCACUAAACAGUAUUCCCUUCUGACUCACUCUCUUUGCUUUACCAUUAAUCGGGUUGGAUUUGGUUCUAGGCAUAUAGUGGCUGGAAAGCUUGGGUCCGGUCUGUUGUGAUUGGAAAGCUGGGACGAUGGAGUUCACCAGAGACCGCCGGCUCCACCGCUUGCAAGGCAUGCAGACCGAACCAAUACAAUCCACUUCCAGCAACACCAUGGCCAGAGAACUCAGCAAACUACCCUCUCUGUUUGCCCUCUGUGUGAAGACCGACGCCUCCACCACACCCACUGCCGAAGUCAGGCCUGAUAUGCAAGCUGUUUUCGAUGAAUUCCAAGCAAUCUUCCGCACACCUGAUUCACUACCACUAGCCAGAAAAAUUGACUACCACAUCAACCUUCGCGAAGGGGCUGAACCGGUGAAUGUCCACCCACACCGGUACGCCUACUUUUAGAAGGCUGAAAUAGAGAAACAGGUGGAUGCAAUGCUCAAGACCGGCCUCAUACAAUAUCGCACCAGCCCCUUUUCAUCCUCAGUAUUACUAGUACGGAAGAAAGAUGGCCUUGGUGAUUCUGCACCGAUUAUAGGGCUCUCAAUGCGGUUACCAUCAAAGAUCGCUUCCCUAUCCCAACCAUGGAUGGCAUGUUCGACGAGUUACAUGGUGCCGCCUUUUUCACUAAAUUGGAUCUUACAGCUGGGUACCACCAAGUCAGAGUAUAUCCUCCUGAUGUGUACAAGAUGGCCUUCCGAACUCACAGUAGCCAUUAUGAAUAUUUGGUGAUGCCCUUUGGCCUAUAUAACGCCCUCUCCACAUUUCAGGCUCUUAUGAAUAACAUGUUCCGACCUCCGUAAAUUUGUUCUAGUAUUUUUUGAUGAUAUUUUGGUUUACAGUACUACUUGGACCCUCCACUUUGAUCAUGUAAGACAGGUACUAGAAGUCUUAACACAGAAUCAAUUCUUUCUCAAGCUAAAGAAGUGUGAGUUUCGGCUACAAAAGAUUGAGUAUCUGGGGUACAUUGUCACCUCUGGCGAGAUAAAAGUUGAUCAGAAAAAGAUUCAGACUGACUCACUGGCCUCCACCAAUCAACACCACCGAACUCAGAGGCUUCUUGGGUUUAACCGGGUACUAUAGAAGGUUUGCGUGCAAUUAUGGACUCUUAGCCAGGCCACUGACCAACCUGUUAAAAAAGGAAAUUUUUGAAUGGACAUCAAAAGCAGGGAAAGUAUUUGAGAACUUGAAGAAAGCUAUGACCACUACACCAACCUUGGCUUUACCUAAUUUCAAAGAGCCAUUUACUAUUGAGACAGAUGCUUCAGGAGAGGGAACUGGGGUUGUCCUCACUCAACAUGAGCGGGACUCUCGGAAUAUCAAAGUAGUCUUGGUUCGACUAUGUAAAAGAAAUGUUAGCAAUAGUCGUUGCUGUACGAUUUUGGAGACCUUACCUUCUUGGCCAUACAUCUUUUAUCAAGAUAGAUCAGAGAAGUCUCAAGUAUCUUAUAGGGCAGCACAUCACUACCCCAGAACAAUAGAAAUAGAUGUCCAAGCUCUUCGGAUAUAAUUAUGAAAUUCUCUACAAACCAGGAAAAGAAAACUCUGCUGCAGAUGCCCUCUCGUAAAGAAGGAAGUCCCAUCUUGCAUCACCUAUCCGCUUCUCACUAUAAUAUCUAGGACAACAUUCAGAAGGCAGCACUCGAGCAUCUUUAUAUGUAGAAACUUAAGAAAUUAGCAUCCGAUAAUCCAGGGCAAUCGUACACCAAGAAAAAUGGGCUGGUCUACUAUAAGAGUUGGGUAGUGGUACCCCCAGAUACCGAUAUUAGUAAACAGUUACUCCAAUAAUUUCAUAACUCUCCAUUAAGAGGUCAUUCAGGUGUACUCAUAACUUACAAACGUCUAGCCCAACAAUUUUACUAGCCCGCAAUGCGCAAAACAGUUCACCAUUAUAUUUCGGCCUGUGACACCUGCCAAAGAACAAAAGUGGAAACUCUCUCCCGGGCAGGUCUUCUUCAGCCUCUGCCAAUUCCGUGUCAGCCAAGACUGUAGCAGAAAGAUUUGUGGAUAGUGUAGUAAAAUUGCAUGGAAUGCCGAGAUUUAUUGUAAGCGACCGAGACCCAGUAUUUAUUAGUCAUUUCUGGUAAGAGUUCUUCAACUCUCAGGAACUCAGCUAAAGAUGAGUUUAUCUUAUCACUCGUGAAGGACAAUCCGAAAAUAGUCAACCGAUUGCUAGAAUAAUACUUACGCUGCUUUAGUCCCCAAUAACCUCGCAAAUGGAGCACAAUACUUCCAUCGGCAGAAUUUUGGUACAACAUGUACAACACUACCUAUCACUCAGCCAUUGGAAUGUCCUCAUUUCAGGCUCUUUACGGUUGCCUACCACCAGUCAUUCCCAAGUACCAACCAGGUGCAACCUCUGCUGUCGAAGUUGAUGUUCAGCUAACUGCUAGAGAUGAGCUACUCAGACAACUCAAGGCCAAUCUGCAAACAGCACAAAACAGAAUACAACAGUUCUCCAAAUCUAAGAGACGCAAUUUUCAAUUCGAAGAAGGGGACUGGAUAUUUCUUAAGCUACAAUCCCACAUACAGCAGUCAGCCUUCAAGCGGGCUUUUCAAAAAUUGGUCUGUUGCUUCUAUGGACCCUACAAAAUCAUACAAAAGAUUGGACCAGUCGCAUACAAAUUACAACUACCUUUUGAGGCCCGAAACACCCAAUCUUCCAUGUUUCUAUGCUCAAAAAGAAAAUAGGAAACUCCCCCAGUUGGCCUGAUGCACUACCAGCAAUGACAGAUGAAGGGGACCUCAUUUUACAGCCAGAUGCCAUCCUUGAUGCUCGUUGGGCAAAGCAUGGCUCCCGCAUUAUAGAAGAAAACUUGGUCCAAUGAAAACAACUGCCAAAAGAAGAUGCAACAUGGAAAAAUGCUGAAGCACUGCAAGAACACUUUGGCAACCUCAACCUUGCGGACAAGGUUCCAAAAAAAGGGGGAGAUAAUGAUAAACCUUAAAGGCCACAACGCCCCACCAUCAAACCCAAACGGUAUUUGGACUGAGUAAAAGCACAUGUGCAGAACGUGCAGAAGAAGAGGAAGAAAACGUGUAGAAAUAUGUUAGCCGGAAUCAGCUCAAUCUUAUCUUUAAGCUUAUCUUUAUUUUUUUGAAUUCUUUUCGCUAGUUAUCGGCAGAUUCAGUUAGAAAUUUAUGUAUUUAAACACUCAUUUGCAGCAAUAAGAGGCAUCGAUUGAGACC